GUUCAGCUGGCGAGUCCCGAAUAGGACGAAACGCGCAUCCUGAAU
rnacentral:hammerhead_ribozyme from 1 species